UUUUCCCUCCAUGAUUGCUGCAAAUCUUUUAGUUUUAGUUGAUUUCAUUUUCAGUUACUCAGUUUUCAUUCACCAUUCAUAUAUCAAGCUCUUGCUCCAGCUUAUUGGACGCAUGAAAAUAUGAAAAACUUUUAUAGUACGAUAUCUCCGACUUUAAGCUCUGCGAUUCUUCAACAUUUAUGUUUACCAUGAAUAACCUAGUUAAGAUAUAUGCACUUUAGCUUUGGUAAUUGUCAUAAAAUGAGGGAGAUGAAAGGGGGAGUGGGUAAAGUUACAUAGACCUGAGGAUUGAGAAUCAGAAAUCAUUUGAGAAAGUAGGUCUUACUCUGAGUUUAGACGGGGAAAAUAAUGGAAAUUGGGGUUAUAAUUGGAUAUGUGAACCUCUGUAUAACUGCUAUGGAUGAUAGAGAAUAGGGAUACUUGCUGCCUAUGAUGAUUUUGGUUUGGGGGUUUUGCAGAACAACUCCUGGUUUUACAAGUAGCUGCUAUAAGAUGUGUAGUUAAUGUGAUAAUAUGGUUCAUAAUUUGAAGGCCAUAGUAGCUCAUAUAUGUGGCUAAGGGCUACGUUGUUCGGACUCUUCAAAAAUGUCAAGGGUGCGUGGGAUUCACCAAAAGUAGUGUAUUUUGAAGAAUCCAACACAGGUAUCUCCAUACAAGGAAUUUAAGCACAACUGAGCUUGAGGGAUAUCAAUAAUUUACCUUUUAAGUUCUUAUUCAUAUUAGCUGUGACCGGGGAAGUUCUGCGGAAAUCCAGAAGAAUUUUAUUUCCCUGAUUUUGUUGAAGCUUUCUUAAGAAUACAUAGCUGCUCAGGCUGGGUGCUUCUUGUUAUAGUCUGCUUCUAUGAUCCUUUUCUGUUUCGGAGCAUAAGUUUCUAAUUGAUGGUCAAAUCGAAGAAAUUAAUGUGCCUGCAUGCAGUAUUGAGAUUCUGUACUUGAAAAGAGAUAUAGAGGAUACAACACCAAGAAGAAGGAAUCUUUGAAGAAGCAGUAAGGAGCUUUUGAAUAUUUCAUCUUCAAAAAAUUGUUUAUGGUUGAAGUUCAUAAUCGACUCAGGUAACUUGCAAACUGAACAAUACUAAGGAGUAAGGACAGAUUUCUAUUCUGGAAAGUUUUCAUCGAUGGCACAAGAUUAUAUCACAUCAUUGUCAUUCUUGUGUUAUAUUGUGUUCGCUUUAUAUGAACUACGUUUCUCUGAAUUUGUACCAAAAUGAUGUAUAUAUAAAUGAUUUCUUAUGUGUGUCAAAUAAUUCAUAAUAACAUA